rnacentral:rRNA from 1 species
GACGAACGCUGGCGGCGUGCUUAACACAUGCAAGUCGAACGGAAAGGCCCUGCUUUUGUGGGGUGCUCGAGUGGCGAACGGGUGAGUAACACGUGAGUAACCUGCCCUUGACUUUGGGAUAACUUCAGGAAACUGGGGCUAAUACCGGAUAGGAGCUCCUGCUGCAUGGUGGGGGUUGGAAAGUUUCGGCGGUUGGGGAUGGACUCGCGGCUUAUCAGCUUGUUGGUGGGGUAGUGGCUUACCAAGGCUUUGACGGGUAGCCGGCCUGCGAGGGUGACCGGCCACAUUGGGACUGAGAUACGGCCCAGACUCCUACGGGAGGCAGCGGUGGGGAAUAUUGCACAAUGGGCGGAAGCCUGAUGCAGCAACGCCGCGUGCGGGAUGACGGCCUUCGGGUUGUAAACCGCUUUCGCCUGUGACGAAGCGUGAGUGACGGUAAUGGGUAAAGAAGCACCGGCUAACUACGUG